rnacentral:piRNA from 1 species
UCCCCUUCUUUAUGGGUGUUCCCCU